GGGAGCUCUCAGAGCGUCUGUGAGAGAGGCUCCACUGGCUCUACUCACAACGUCUGACAGAAAAGUCAAAGAAUAGGUUUUGUUGUUGUUGUUUUGUCUGAAAACAAUAUGUAAGGAAAAUCAUUUCAUCCCAAAAUGUUAGUGGUGAUGAUUUUCAGUGAAACUUAAGGUAUUUGCUAGUUUCUUCUUUAAUUGCUUUUGUAAUAUUUACAUAAAGCCAAGUUUCUAAUGUUUUAACUGAAUUUCCUAAGGUGGACUGUGUUUAUGAACAAUUAAGCCCCAUCUGUGUUGCUGUUGUCCCUGUCUUUCCUCCAUGGGGCCACCUGUUCAAUCCCUGGUCCAGAAGAUCCCACAUGCCAUGGAACAAGUGAGCUUGUGCACCGCAGCUACUGAGCCCGAGCACCAGAGCCAGCAGGCCGCAGCUGCUGAAACCUGUGGGCCCAAAGCCCGUACUCGGCAACGAGAGAAGCCAUGGCAGGGAGAAGGCCUCACUGCGACUGGGGAGCAGCCCCUCUUGCUGCAACAGGAGAAAAGCCCGUGCAGCAACUAAGACUUGGUACAGCCAACAUGAAAAUAAUAAUACAUGAACUUUAAAAAUACGUG
ensembl:lncRNA